rnacentral:lncRNA from 1 species
UCCUGUAUGACAAGAUCUGCUCUAUUGUGUUGGUAUCCAGUUGGCACAAAGCUCCCACUUACACCUCCUUAUCCUCUUGAUUCCAGAACCUGCUUGAUUCAGGUGAAAGAGUCAUUUGAAAGAAGGAUUUUCAUCUCUCCAGAAGAUAUAUUGCAUGGUGAUUUGCUGGCCAAACAAGCUGUUCUUCUCAAAGCAUCCCCUGUGAAGACAGAUGAGCUCAUAGUCUCCAGGAAUCCACAAGGGAAGGGGAGCAGGACACGAGUGGAGAAGCAAAGAGCCGACUCAGCAUCAGCCGCUGAGUUGGGCAACUUAUCAGUUAUAAACUAA